rnacentral:rRNA from 1 species
CCCUUAGAUGUUCUGGGCCGCACGCGCGCUACACUGAUUCAUGCAACAAGUUUUGUCCUUGGCUGAUAGGCCUGGGUAAUCUUUGAACGUGAAUCGUGAUGGGGAUAGAUGAUUGCAAUUAUUCAUCUUCAACGGGGAAUUCCUAGUAAACGCAAGUCAUCAGCUUGCAUUGAUUACGUCCCUGCCCUUUGUACACACCGCCCGUCGCACCUACCGAUUGAAUGGUCCGGUGAAAUCUUCGGAUCUGAGAGAUGUCUGAUUAAUUUCGGACGCCUUUUGGAAAAGUUGUUUAAACCUUACCAUUUAGAGGAAGGUGAAGUCGUAACA